rnacentral:rRNA from 1 species
UACGUAGGGGGCAAGCGUUGUCCGGAUUUAUUGGGCGUAAAGAGCGUGUAGGCGGUUUGGUAGGUCCGCUGUGAAAACUCGAGGCUCAACCUCGAGACGCCGGUGGAAACCAUCAGACUAGAGUCCGGAAGAGGAGAGUGGAAUUCCUGGUGUAGCGGUGAAAUGCGCAGAUAUCGUAAGGAAGACCAGUGGCGAAGGCGGGUCUCUGGACAGUUCCUGACGCUGAGGCACGAAGGCCAGGGGAACAAACGGG